rnacentral:rRNA from 1 species
GAUGAACGCUGGCGGCGUGCCUAAUACAUGCAAGUCGAGCGAACGGACGAGAAGCUUGCUUCUCUGAUGUUAGCGGCGGACGGGUGAGUAACACGUGGAUAACCUACCUAUAAGACUGGGAUAACUUCGGGAAACCGGAGCUAAUACCGGAUAAUAUUUUGAACCGCAUGGUUCAAAAGUGAAAGACGGUCUUGCUGUCACUUAUAGAUGGAUCCGCGCUGCAUUAGCUAGUUGGUAAGGUAACGGCUUACCAAGGCAACGAUGCAUAGCCGACCUGAGAGGGUGAUCGGCCACACUGGAACUGAGACACGGUCCAGACUCCUACGGGAGGCAGCAGUAGGGAAUCUUCCGCAAUGGGCGAAAGCCUGACGGAGCAACGCCGCGUGAGUGAUGAAGGUCUUCGGAUCGUAAAACUCUGUUAUUAGGGAAGAACAUAUGUGUAAGUAACUGUGCACAUCUUGACGGUACCUAAUCAGAAAGCCACGGCUAACUACGUGCCAGCAGCCGCGGUAAUACGUAGGUGGCAAGCGUUAUCCGGAAUUAUUGGGCGUAAAGCGCGCGUAGGCGGUUUUUUAAGUCUGAUGUGAAAGCCCACGGCUCAACCGUGGAGGGUCAUUGGAAACUGGAAAACUUGAGUGUAGAAGAGGAAAGUGGAAUUCCAUGUGUAGCGGUGAAAUGCGCAGAGAUAUGGAGGAACACCAGUGGCGAAGGCGACUUUCUGGUCUGUAACUGACGCUGAUGUGCGAAAGCGUGGGGAUCAAACAGGAUUAGAUACCCUGGUAGUCCACGCCGUAAACGAUGAGUGCUAAGUGUUAGGGGGUUUCCGCCCCUUAGUGCUGCAGCUAACGCAUUAAGCACUCCGCCUGGGGAGUACGACCGCAAGGUUGAAACUCAAAGGAAUUGACGGGGACCCGCACAAGCGGUGGAGCAUGUGGUUUAAUUCGAAGCAACGCGAAGAACCUUACCAAAUCUUGACAUCCUUUGACAACUCUAGAGAUAGAGCUUUCCCCUUCGGGGGACAAAGUGACAGGUGGUGCAUGGUUGUCGUCAGCUCGUGUCGUGAGAUGUUGGGUUAAGUCCCGCAACGAGCGCAACCCUUAAGCUUAGUUGCCAUCAUUAAGUUGGGCACUCUAAGUUGACUGCCGGUGACAAACCGGAGGAAGGUGGGGAUGACGUCAAAUCAUCAUGCCCCUUAUGAUUUGGGCUACACACGUGCUACAAUGGACAAUACAAAGGGCAGCGAAACCGUGAGGUCAAGCAAAUCCCAUAAAGUUGUUCUCAGUUCGGAUUGUAGUCUGCAACUCGACUACAUGAAGCUGGAAUCGCUAGUAAUCGUAGAUCAGCAUGCUACGGUGAAUACGUUCCCGGGUCU